rnacentral:tRNA from 1 species
GGGCCGUUAGCUCAGUUGGUAGAGCAUCUGACUUUUAAUCAGGUGGUCACUGGUUCGAUUCCAGUACGGCCCACCA